GGAGUAGCAUGCUGAUAAAUUUGUAUCAUGUAAGACUUGAGGUUCUCACAGCGGUGAAUAUGAAGAUUUCUGUCUUCUGGGUUAUUGCGCUGUGUAGUCUGGUCGAUGUUAACCAACGUUUCAGAGGUCAUACUGCCUCCGUCAUCAGGGCGAUGACGGAGGCAGUAUGUGCAGGAGUCUGUAAAUGGAGACUGUAAGAUUCUGAUCGUAAAUCUGUGCUGCUGAAUUUCAUAUGGCCAACCUAAUAGUGACUCAGGAUACGCCAUCUAUGUUCUUCUCGGACAGCAGCAAUCGAUUUCGAUUUGAAGUAUUGUUCGAGAAUGGGCACGCGUUCUGAUCGACAUUCGCACAAAACUGGCGCGAGCAGCGGCCUAGCAAACAAGAUGCCACAGGGGAGGUCCGGAGAGUCUGUUGCAUGUGGGUGGGCCCGCUUCUGAUUACAUUUUUGUACCGAAGUGUGUGAUUUCGUUUGGUUGCUUUUUAAAUGGUACUUUCUGUACUACCUAAAGCCAAAACAGUGACUGUAACAGUGAUUUACUAGAACUAGUUGGCCUAAUAUAAAUUGUAUGUGUUAGAUUAACAUGCAUGUUUUACGGAGUAUUUAUUUUAUGACUUGGUGAAUACUAACAUGGCGACCGUGAUGAAUUUUGAAGUCAUAUCUUACCUCAGGACUGAAGUUACAAACCACAAAAUCGAAAGUGGGUGAAAUAUUGUUGCGAAUAUUUACAGAGAAAUAAAAGAAUGUUUAAUUUUACGCGUAAUUCUUGGACGUACUAACCUUAAUACAAUGAGGUAAUAUAUCUAUUUGUUUAUCCUUUCAAUAUUUAGGAUAUGCAGUUUAGGUCCAAAAACGAAUGUUUCGCGUGUUUUGCAGCUUGUUCGAUCAACAGAUCACAUUUUUAAACACUGCUCACAUCAUGUAUUGGGCAGCUGUAAUGGCAGGCCUACACCUAACUUGACACUCCAAGCACGACUUUCCAAGGCUAUGAUUUCUGCAUCCUGGCCUUCACGUAACCUUGUAGAAUUAUAGCUCAUGUUAUUGCAAUGUCAUUUUACGAUUUCUUCUCUUGUCGUUAUAAUAAUAGCCGAUCAGUAGAACAAUGCAACUAAUCCAGUGACGUAAAAUUGCUUUCAGUGCAUGUAAAAUUGAUGUUGCAGUUAUUCUUGACGCCUCAGUUAUCACACUCUUUUCCUAAGUUAAGUGCCUGUAUCUUUGCAGAUAAAUACUGUAAAUUGUUGUGUA